rnacentral:rRNA from 1 species
AUCUUCGGCCAUGCCACCCUGAAGAAGCCCCAUGUCUGAACUCAGAAGCUAAGCAGGGUUGGGCCUGGUUAGUACUUGGAUGGGAGACCACCUAGGAAGGCCAGGUGCUGUAGGCA